UACGUAGGCAGCAAGCGUUGUUCGGAAUUACCGGGCGUAAAGAGUGUGUAGGCGGUGUUCUAAGUUUGUCGUGAAAUCUCCCGGCUUAACUGGGAGGGUGCGGCGAAAACUGGAAUGCUAGAGGAUGGGAGAGGUAAGCGGAAUUCCUGGUGUAGCGGUGAAAUGCGUAGAUAUCAGGAGGAACACCUGUGGUGUAGACAGCUUACUAGGACCAUUUCUGACGCUGAGACACGAAAGCGUGGGUAGCAAACAGG
rnacentral:rRNA from 1 species